rnacentral:rRNA from 1 species
UGGUGAGGUAAUAGCUCACCAAGGCUAAGACGGGUAGCUGGCGUGAGAGCGCGGUCAGCCACCGCGGAACUGAGACACGGUCCGCACUCCUACGGGAGGCAGCGAUUAGGAAUCUUGCGCAAUGGGGGCAACCCUGACGCAGCGACACAGAGUGGAGGAUGAAGGUCUUAGGAUCGUAAACUCCUUUUAUGAGGGAAGAAUAGAUGACGGUACCUCAUGAAUAAGCACCUGCUAACUACGUGCCAGAAGCAUCGGUGAUGCGUAGGGUGCGAACGUUAUCCGGAUUUAUUGGGCGUAUAGAGAAGCGUAGGUGUUUCUGUAAGUCUUUAGUUAAAGACCACGGCUCAACCGUGGGGAAGCUUUGGAAACUACAGGAAUUGAGACAGGAAGGGGCGAAUGAAUUCCCAGUGGAGCGGUGAAAUGCGUUGAUAUUGGGAGGAACAUCAGUGGCGAAGGCGAUUCGCUGGUCCUUGUCUGACACUAAGGCUCGAAAGCGUGGGUAGCAAAACGGAUUAGAUACCCGUGUAGUCCACGCCGUAAACAAUGGAUGCUAGGUGUUCGGUACAACUACUUAAUCCUUCGGGAUUAAAUGGAAGUAUUGUGUACUGCAGCUAGCGCGUUAAGCAUCCCGCCUGGGAACUACGGCCGCAAGGCUAAAACUCAAAUGAAUUGGCGGGGACUCGCACAAGCAGAGGAGCGCGUGUUUAAUUUCGACGGCAUCGAGACCUUACCAGGUUUGAAAUGUAUCUGCAUGCCUUAUGAAGUUUGGCAGCCCUUCGAGGUGAAAACACAGUGCUGCA